rnacentral:rRNA from 1 species
AUUGAACGCUGGCGGCAGGCCUAACACAUGCAAGUCGAGCGAGCGGCGGACGGGUGAGUAAUGUCUGGGAAACUGCCUGAUGGAGGGGGAUAACUACUGGAAACGGUAGCUAAUACCGCAUACAAUCAGAUGAGCCCAGAUGGGGUUAGCUAGUAGGUGGGGUAACGGCUCACCUAGGCGACGAACCCUAGCUGGUCUGAGAGGAUGCACAGCCACACGGGAACUUAGACACGGUCCAGACUCCUACGGAAGGCAGCAGUGGGAAAUAUUGCACAAGGGGCGAAAGCCUGAUGCAGCCAUGAGGGGUGUGUGAAGAAGGCCUUAGGGUUGUAAAGCACGUUCAUCGGGGAGGCGUUACCCGCAGAAGAAGCACCGGCUAACUCCGUGCCAGCAGCCGCGGUAAUUC